rnacentral:rRNA from 1 species
UACGAAGGGUGCAAGCGUUACUCGGAAUUACUGGGCGUAAAGCGCGUGUAGGCGGCUUUGCAAGUCGGGUGUGAAAGCCCUCAGCUCAACUGAGGAAGUGCGCCCGAAACUGCAGAGCUUGAGUACCGGAGAGGGUGGCGGAAUUCCCCAAGUAGAGGUGAAAUUCGUAGAUAUGGGGAGGAACACCGGUGGCGAAGGCGGCCACCUGGACGGUCACUGACGCUGAGACGCGAAAGCGUGGGGAGCAAACAGG